AAAAGGAUAUAUAAAGGUAUCUCUAAAAAUAUAAACCUGUCCUGCUCUGCCUCCUCGACCCGUUCAUUGAGGAAAAGGCGAUUUUGGGGCGGAUUUAUAGGGCGAUGUCCCCGCCCCGGAGGAGCCCUGUGACCAUCAUGAGCCGAUGUCACGUUUGGGGCAGUCGAGCUGUUCAGAGCAAGGAAUGUGGAGUGAAUCUUUCUGGAAUGUCCCUUUACAAGGAAUUUUUGGAGCAGUUUCUUUUUUGUAAACAGACCCAAAUUCCUGAACCAUUAUCUCUGCAGAAAACUCCUCCCCAUGAACUCACCCAAAAUAAAAUUUUUUUAAGGUAAGUUAACUCUACACUCGUGCUUUAAUUUGAAUUAUUCCAGAUAUUUCUUAAUUCUCUGAGCAUUGUCAGGCAUUUCAAUAAUAAUUUUUAAUUUUAAAAUGUGCAUUUUAAAAUAAAAUCUCACCUUGUUCUUGCUUUUUAUCAAACCACACCAGGAUUAAAAGGUCACUGUUAAAAAUAUUUAAAGUUCUUUGGGUUGUAAAGUGAUAAAAAAAAAAUCAGUGACCCCAAAUUUGGGGGUUUGGGAUCCCCUGUUUGAAUUUUUGCCUUCAGCUCUCACAGGGUAAAAUCCAAAUAUCCAGGAUUGCAAGGGAGGUUUUUGAAGGAAUGUAAAUAUGUAAAUAUUUCUAUUUUUUAUAUCUAUAUAUAUUUUAUAUAUCUAUUUUUUAUUUAUUAAUAAAAUAGAAGAUCCUCCAUCCCACUCCUUAUCCAUAUCCUCAUUAUUUUCAGGAUAAUUUUCCUUAAAUUCUUCUUGGCUUCAUUGAUUUUUAUUCAGACUUGCUCCUGUGCUGUGUUUAAAUUGAAUUUUUCUCUUUCAGGCCUGAAGAUGAGAACCUCCUUUGUGUCAGACCAGCUGAGCAAAAAUAAAAAUAAAA